rnacentral:rRNA from 1 species
CGAUAUCGACGAGUUUGAUCCUGGCUCGGAUUGAACGCUGGCGGCAUGGUUAAAGCAUGCAAGUCGAACGCGAACCACCUUCGGGUGGGGAAAGUGGCGAAAGGGCGAGGAAUACGAUCGAAUGUGCCCCGAGGUGGGGAUAGCGUCGAGAAAUCGGCGGUAAUACCCCAUGUGCUCUACGGAGGAAAGGUUUACCGCCUUGGGAGCAGCGAUCGUCCUAUCAGGUAGUUGGUGGGGUAAUGGCCUACCAAGCCGAAGACGGGUAGCGGGUGUGAGAGCAUGACCCGCCGCAUCGGAACUGAGACACUGUCCGGACUCCUACGGGAGGCUGCAGCGACGAAUAUUCCGCAAUGGGCGAAAGCCUGACGGAGCAAUGCCGCGUGUGGGAUGAAGCGCCUUCGGCGUGUAAACCACUGUCAGGUCCUAGGAACACUGACCAGGACCAGAGGAAGGGCCGGCUAACCUCGUG